rnacentral:rRNA from 1 species
GAUGAACGCUGGCGGCGUGCCUAAUACAUGCAAGUCGAGCGAACAGACGAGGAGCUUGCUCCUUCGACGUUAGCGGCGGACGGGUGAGUAACACGUAGGUAACCUACCUAUAAGACUGGGAUAACUUCGGGAAACCGGAGCUAAUACCGGAUAAUAUUUCGAACCGCAUGGUUCGAUAGUGAAAGAUGGCUUUGCUAUCACUUAUAGAUGGACCUGCGCCGUAUUAGCUAGUUGGUAAGGUAACGGCUUACCAAGGCAACGAUACGUAGCCGACCUGAGAGGGUGAUCGGCCACACUGGAACUGAGACACGGUCCAGACUCCUACGGGAGGCAGCCGUAGGGAAUCUUCCGCAAUGGGCGAAAGCCUGACGGAGCAACGCCGCGUGAGUGAUGAAGGUCUUCGGAUCGUAAAACUCUGUUAUUAGGGAAGAACAAACGUGUAAGUAACUGUGCACGUCUUGACGGUACCUAAUCAGAAAGCCACGGCUAACUACGUG